AUAAAUGCCAAACAACCACUUAAUAACUCACUUAUCAAAAUCUUGUAUUUGAUAAAAUACUAGAAUAAUAACGUGCAUGUGUGAUCGACGAGAUCUAUGAAACUUUUUAUUCCGGUAUUCUGACCACAAUACAACAUGUAUGGUAUGAACAAUGUAUGGAUAACAUAUGUUUACAUAUUUUGUAUGAAUAAAUAAUAAAAUAGUACAAUACACUGUA